rnacentral:misc_RNA from 1 species
CAAUCAGUGUUUAAUGGCACUUGAAAUCCAUUACCCACCUUGUGUGCAAUGUCGGGGAGGGGGCGUGGACGCGUCUUUUGACGCGUUUUUCACCUCCUUCUUAUCAUUCACUCGUAGUUUUCAUAUCAGUCUACAAGUAUCGAGUAUCAAAAACUCUAAUA